rnacentral:rRNA from 1 species
GCGGCGUGCCUAAACAUGCAAGUCGAGCGAAGUUUUCUGGUGCGCACUAGAAAACUUAGCGCAACGGUGAGUCACGUAAAGACCUGCCUCAUAGACUGGGCAACUAUUGAAACGAUAGCUAAUCCGAUAACAGCAUUAACUGCAUGGUUGAUGUUUAAAGUGUUGCUAACACUAUGAGUGGCUCUCGGUGCAUUAGCUAGUUGGUGGGUAAAGCCUACCAGGCGCGAUGCAUACCGACCUGAGAGGGUGAUCGCACACUGGGACUGAGACACGCCCAGACUCCUACGGGAGGCAGCAGUAGGGAAUCUUCGCAUGGACGGAAGUCUGACCCGACAACCCGCGUGAGUGAAGAAGGUUUCGGUCGUAAGCUCUGUUGUAAGAGAAG